rnacentral:lncRNA from 1 species
CAGGCCAACUCAGCAAUGAAAGGGUCCGGUUCUGAGCUUUAGAAGGAAAUGGAGUGACGUAAUAAUGAUCAUCUGAUGCUCUUCAGCCUGGAGAUUUAAUGUCAGAGGCUCCUGGAGUGAGAUUUAACCAGCGGGGCCCCGCGCUCUGGCCUGCCUCAUUUGUUCCACAUGACAUUUCCUCAGUGCAAGGGGCUGCUCCAGAGCUAGUCCUCUGCAGCUCACGGCUGCCUUGGAUCUGGUUUGUGCCUGCGAGGGAGAUCGUCCUGCUCCCGAGCGAAUGACACAGGGGUCUGCAAGGCCAGCUCAGAACGGAGAGAUGCUCAGCAAAGGCCUGCAGGCUUCCAUGGAGGGACUCCGAGGUCACACCUAGCCGCUGGGCUCUGCUCUCUGCAAAACCAAGCCAGGUGCUGCCAGGCCUGGGCAGGAUCAGAACCACCUUCAGCAGCUCCACAACCAGGCUCUGAGUGGGGUGUUGCCUCUGCAGCUCUGCCGUCCCUCUCUCGUGUCCCAUGGGCAGUGCAGUGACCAUCUUCUCCAUCCUUUGUGGGGCCUUUGCCAUGGCCAGCACCAUCACCUCGCUCUGCACAGACUGUUGGCAGAUUAACAGCAAAGGCUCAGUUGUUCUGAGCACCCGGUGCCGUGGCCUCUGGAGAGAAUGUGUCUGGGACAAGUUUGUGAAGAUCUGGACCUGUGAUGUUUUCAGCUCCUACCUGAAUCCACAUCCAGGGCUAGGUGGCACUGCGAGAUAG